rnacentral:tRNA from 1 species
GGAGGUAUAGCUCAGUGGCAGAGCACUUGCCUAGCACAAGGCUCUGGAUUCAGUCUCCAGUACUACUG